rnacentral:ncRNA from 2 species
AACCUGAAUAUGGGAAAGUCCGGUGUAAUUCCGGCGCUGUGCCGCAACUGUCAAAGCCAGAACGCCAUUGAGGGG